rnacentral:rRNA from 1 species
UCUUCCCUCUGGCGGCGUGCCUAAUACAUGCAAGUCGAGCGAACAGACGAGGAGCUUGCUCCUCUGACGUUAGCGGCGGACGGGUGAGUAACACGUGGAUAACCUACCUAUAAGACUGGGAUAACUUCGGGAAACCGGAGCUAAUACCGGAUAAUAUAUUGAACCGCAUGGUUCAAUAGUGAAAGACGGUUUUGCUGUCACUUAUAGAUGGAUCCGCGCCGCAUUAGCUAGUUGGUAAGGUAACGGCUUACCAAGGCAACGAUGCGUAGCCGACCUGAGAGGGUGAUCGGCCACACUGGAACUGAGACACGGUCCAGACUCCUACGGGAGGCAGCAGUAGGGAAUCUUCCGCAAUGGGCGAAAGCCUGACGGAGCAACGCCGCGUGAGUGAUGAAGGUCUUCGGAUCGUAAAACUCUGUUAUUAGGGAAGAACAAAUGUGUAAGUAACUACGCACGUCUUGACGGUACCUAAUCAGAAAGCCACGGCUAACUACGUG